rnacentral:rRNA from 1 species
UUUGUUUAUAUAUUGAUAAUGACAGUAUAUAUAUCGUGUCUUGACUAAUUGCGUGCCAGCAGUCGCGGUAAUACGUAAGAGACUAGUGUUAUUCAUCUUAAUUAGGUUUAAAGGGUACCCAGACGGUCAAUAUAGCUUAUAAAAUGUUAGUACUUGACUAGAGUUUUAUGUAAGAGGGCAGUACUUGAGGAGGAGAGAUGAAAUUUCGUGAUACCAAAGGGACUCUGUAAAGGCGAAGGCAGCCCUCUAUGUAAAAACUGACGUUGAAGGACGAAGGCACAGAGAACAAACAGGAUUAGAUACCCAAGUAGUCUUUGCAGUAAAUGAUGAAUGCCAUAGGUCAGAUUAGCAUAUUAAUGUUUAUAGUCUAAUAGGGUUAGUCUAGCAAACUAAUGACAUAGACUUUUAUUAAUAAUAUUUGGUCUAUAAAUGAAAGUGUAAGCAUUUCACCUCAAGAGUAAUGUGGCAACGCAGGAACUGAAAUCACUAGACCGUUUCUGACACCAG